rnacentral:rRNA from 1 species
GACGAACGCUGGCGGCGUGCUUAACACAUGCAAGUCGAACGAAGCACUACUAGUUGAUUCCUUCGGGAUGAAGCAGGUAGUGACUGAGUGGCGGACGGGUGAGUAACGCGUGAGUAACCUGCCUUUCAGAGGGGGACAACAUUUGGAAACGAAUGCUAAUACCGCAUAACAUAUCUUUGUGGCAUCGCAGAGAUAUCAAAGGAGUUAAAUCCGCUGAAAGAUGGACUCGCGUCCGAUUAGCUAGAUGGUGAGGUAAUGGCUCACCAUGGCGACGAUCGGUAGCCGGACUGAGAGGUUGAUCGGCCACAUUGGGACUGAGACACGGCCCAGACUCCUACGGGAGGCAGCAGUGGGGAAUAUUGCACAAUGGGGGAAACCCUGAUGCAGCGACGCCGCGUGAAGGAAGAAGUAUUUCGGUAUGUAAACUUCUAUCAGCAGGGAAGAAAAUGACGGUACCUGACUAAGAAGCCCCGGCUAAUUACGUGCCAGCCGCCGCCGUAAUAC